UUACUAGCUAUGUGUCCUUGGGUAAGCUACUUAACUUCUCUGUGCCUCAGUUUCCCUCAUCUGUACCAUAGGGUUAAUAUCUGUGGGAGAGAAUGUACCUAAAGCACUUAGAACAGUUUGAGGCCCAUGGUGGAUAUUUGAUGGAGGUCAAUGCUCAUGUUGAAGGUGCUGAACUGGGUGCGGAGGUACAGAGAAAGAGAAUACGUGGUUCUCCGCCUCACCCAAGUCCAGGACAGGUCCCCAGUGGAGCUUGGUGUCUCACCUUCCUCCCAGAGUCCCACUUUGGUCCCCAGAUUCAAUGAUAGCAAACACCGAGCUUUGUACCCUCAUUCGCCACCCAUGUUCCCCAGCCUUUCCCACAUCUCCUUUAUUUUCAUUAAUGGAGUUUAUUUAUAGAAUUUUAGAUUGACAGAAAAAAUUGAGCAGAUAGUACAGAGAAUUGCCAGCUGGCACACAGUUUCCCUAUUAUUAAUGUUUUACAUUAGUGUGGUACAUUUGUUAUAAUUAAUGAGCCAAUAUUGAUACAUUAUUAUUGACUAAAGUCCAUAGUUUCCUUAGUUUUUACCUAAUGUACUUUUUCCAUCUCAGGAUACCACAUUACCUUUAGUCAGCGUGUCAUCCAGGCUCCUCUUGGCUGAGACAGGUUUUCAGACUUUCCCUGUUUUUGAUGAUCUUGACCAUUUUGAAGAACACUGGUUAGCCAUAUCAUGAAAUGGCCCACUGCUGGGAUUUGUCUGAUGUUUUUCUUGUGAUUAGACCGGGGUUACGGGUUUGGGGGAGGAAGAUCACAGAGAUAAAAUGCCAUUUUCAUCACAUCAUGUCAGAGGUAUAUACUAUUGACAUGAUUUAUGACUGCUUCUGUUGACCUUGGUCACCUGGCUUGAAGUAGAGUUGAUCAGUUUUCUCCACUAUGAAGUUACUCUUUUGUCUCCUCUUUUCUUCCUACUGUACUCUGGAAGGAAGUCACCACGUCCAGCCCACACUUAAGGAAUAGGGCUCCUCCCCUGUUUUAAAAGGCACAAGAGGCAUUACCUUGUCCUGUAUUUAUAUACAUCUAUUAAAUGUUGGAGAUUUUGUGACUGUGCGUAGCAGCUGGCAAAGCAGGAAGUUACGUCAGUGGAAGGCUGAGCUCACAGCCUGAGGAUAGAUGCCCAAAUGGGGAUGGACUGGUUUUCUCCCAAAGCGGUCAAAGCAGUCAAAUGAGGUCAAACAACAGAUGAGAGGAACAUAGAGAAGUGGGUGGUGUCUGUGCGGGCAACUGACAGAUGGCCUUUCAAUGAAUAGAAUAUUAAUCUUCUAUAUGAUCUAAAAUAUCUUCUUAAACUAAGGCCAGUGGCAAUUCUUUGAGUUCCAAUGUAAUUGUCAUGCAUUCACUAUUAAAGGGGAUUUUUUUUUUUAAAGCUGUCAGUUUGAUUGAGGAGGAUUAGAAAAGAAGAAGCAAGAAUAUUUUUAGACAUUUUUAAAGAACUCAUUUAGCUGCUUCCUAAUUAAUCAGUCUGUUUUCUGAGAGCAAACUGCUGUAUAAUUACUAGGGGAAAAUUAUUCUUAAAGAGGGAUCCUGAACUGUCUAUAGGAAAAUGAAUUCCGUGCUGGUACUCAGAAAGACUUAACCUGCUUAACACGGACGAAGCACUUUAUUAACAGAGUGACUUCCCAUCAUCUGGUUAUUAAGGGUUAAUUGCAUUUUAGAGCCACUUCUCUGUAGGGAGUGCUGAUGAGGGAAGAGGAAAAACAAUCAGGCUGACAGGCACUGAAUCCAAAAUCCUGAAACUUCUCCCAGACGAGUCCUUCUCACUACAUUAAUACUUCUCUCCACAUUGGGAGCACUGCACUGGGAGUCCCAGAUAGUUUUCAUAGUAGGUUUCAAGGUAAAAUCUCCCAUACAAUAAAUGCCAAGUUCUAUUUAAGAAGCAAGCAAGUCAGCAUCUGGAAGCCAGUUUGCAGGCAGAUCUUUAACUUCCAGGAAUUCUGUUGGGGAUUUAAUGUUUCCGUAGCAACAUUUUGUUGUGGCGUAAACUAAGUUUGAAGAAUGCUGCAGGGUUUGCUUCUGUAAUGUUGUGUCUCAUGUCUGUACCAUACGUUAGAGAGAGUCUCGAGAUUUUAUAGAGUGUAUAUAUGCCUGUUUUAAUUGUACUUUCUAACAUUUUUCUCAUGGAAACUCAUGUAUCAACAGAAAUUCAAAUCUUUCAAAUGAUUUUGGGAGGAAAAACUGUAAAGAAAUGACCGUCCCCUGUUCAAAGCUGAAAAUUUCUAUGCAAGGUAUUUUAUUUCUUCAAUAGUAAUACGCUUCCAUCAUAGGAAAAUUGACUAAGUUUGAAAGAAAAAUGAGGACCUCAUUAAAACUAUUAGUAAGGCUGGAAACAAGGCAGCAAUUUCUAACCCAAUGGUGCUCAGGGAAUGGCAUGAAUGUUCUUGAUUAUCCAGUCUUUGAUGAAGGAUGUAGGUCUUUUUACACCAUUUUAAUGGCUAAAAUUGGUUUGCUUCAAAAGAAAAAGAUUUCAGAUAUGAAAAAAAAAAUUUUUCCCAUCUACAUCCUUCUGAGACCUUUUUUUGGUACCCUUGACUAAGUUGCCUGCAGCUUCAUUUUUAUAGAAAAUUAGUUUUCAGCAGGUGGAACUGAAAAUCACUGGAAGAGAAAAACAAUUUCCAGCGGAGUUAGAAUUGUACACAUUCUAUGUUUUUACUAUUUAUAUAUACAUCUUCCACUUCUUAUGACCUAAUGUCGUAAUCUUUCCAUUGUGAUGUCACAAUCGCUGCGCAAUAGCUAACAAAAUGUUUAAAUCCUAGUGAUUCAGAAGUAAAAAAGUUGGACGAUUGCCCUGUGGACUCUCAUUUAUUAAAGGAAGGAUGAAAGAAACAUAAGAUACAAAAUUUCAUGCAGAUUUUCCCUCCUUAGAAAUAUGUUGAAAUGAACCUGCUCCUAAGAACUAGAGCCGCAGAUUUUUAGCUGGUUAUAUUACAGCUAACAGAAAAACCACCUUUCCAAGUCUCCUUUGCAGCUGGAUGCCCAAGUCUAUAAAUUCUUGCCAAUGAGAUAUAAACAAGAAUGAUGUGCAAGUUCAGGGAGGGACUUCUACAAGGAACGUAUUAAAAACUGCAUGUCAGAUAAUCGGGCGUUUUGCAAUGAGAUGAUUGAACUGCUCUGUGCAAUCCUCCUGAUGAUCACAAAAAUAGAAGAGAGGCCAGAAAACUAGAGACAACCAAAGAGAGAAUGGAGGGAUCUGUAGUCACUGAUCGCCCAGAUCGAUGGAUGCGUCAACAUGGCAGGAACGUACUGAUAAAGUAGAGUUGCCCGAAAGCCAAGUACUUAUGCUCCACUGAUGGAUCUAGAGUGCAUGACAAGGAGAGGAUUGUACAGAUCUACCUGCACAACCAGAAUAUUAUGUUUGAUUCGUGGUGCCUGGAAAAAAGACACUGAUAGAUUGCAACUCAUCCAAUGGAGGGCAACAAGGCUCAAUUGGAAACCAAAGAACCAAUAAAGAAUGGGAGGUGUUCAGCCUGAGGAACUGAAGGCUUGGGGGUGCAGGGGUUGUAAUUUGACAACUGUCCUCAAAUACCUUGAGAAUUGUCCCUUUAGAACGUUCUAUGUGGUUCCAUUGGCUGAGUGUUUUUCCCAAGGUUAUAGUGUUGUUCACUGGCAGGCCAGGAUUGGAAUUCAGAUUUCCUCACUGCUGGUCCUUGCAACACAGAUUCCUAUCCCAGGACUCUCCUGAUGACAGGCCACUUGUCAUGGUGCUUUUGGUUCUGGCUCUUGGGCCAUUGACAUCUCAGUGUGAAUACAUUGUUUAGACUGUUCAGAAAGAAAAGGGUAUGAGAAGAAGAGGCUGAGGGUUAGAGACACGCGUUCCCUACCUGCCCGCUUCCUCUGAGGAUUCCAUUCCUCUCCCUUCCCUCCCAUGCACUAUUCCCACUCGCUCCCCACCCACAACGAUACCCUGCUUCCUCCCAUUCCAUGAUCUCAGCAGCUUAUUAAGAGAAAAGGAAACUGUCUGAACUAAUUAAGAGGUGAUUUGGUUGUGGAUAAAAGAGCUCUGGAGUCUAGGAUCACGGGAUCUGAAUUCAUAUUCUUUUUCUCUUGCCAACUAACUGGAUGACUUUGGUCAAGAUAGUUAAUCUCUCUGAGCUCCAGUUUCUUCGAAUAAGGGAUUUAAAAAUUCCUUUUUGGGUCUAAAAUUCUGUGACAUCAAUUCAAGUGAAUUCAUAUUUUUCAGGGGGGUACUUUUAUCUCGGAGGAUUUCCCUAUAGGACCCUCCGGUCCCCUAAAGCUUCACACACUAUCCUCAGCCACUCAGGGAGCUCUCGUGCCCCACUUUUGUCUCCACAUUACCUGGGUCAUCUUCCCCUUCCCUCUCCACCUGUCUAAAUGCCACCUCUCCUCCAAGUUCAGUGUAGAGUUCUUCUCCUCUGAAGUGCAAUAGCUCUUACUGUCUACACCUUGCUUAAUUGGACACGGUCGUGUCUUUUGGAGCAGAGUGAGCACGUAUGGACUGACUGCUAAUCUGAAAGAAUCAAUCUGUAAUGACAGAAUUUGAGCAACCUGACAGGCUAGUAGGGGAAUUAUUUGAACGGCCAACAUACUCCCAAGUUCUGCAAUCGCGUAUGUAAGACCGGCCUUGGAAAUCCCUUGUCUGGGCAAGAAUUUUCGAUUACCUCAUAGAUUCCCAGAUUAGAUUAGAUUCUGGUAGAAUCUAAUCCCAUAAAUGAGAUUCCCAGAACAGUGGGAAGGGCUCAGGUCUGUUUACCAUUUCGCCAUCGAUUCUGCAAAUAUUUCCUGAGCGCUGACUUGGUGCCAGCCAUGGUGCUAAAUGCCUUACAUGAGUCAUCUUAUUUGACCCUCACAAUAAUUCUCUGAAGUACUCACUUUUAUUGUUCCCACUUUACAGAUGAGGAAAUAGAAACUCAGAGAGUUUGAAUUACUUACUCAAGGUCACUAGCUAUGAGUAGUUAAGCCAAGAGCCAAAUCCAGGCUGUCUGAUGCCAGAAUCUGAGCUCUUAGCCAGGACAUGAGGCAGCUCCCCACAGCAGGCACAGACUUCUCUCUCAUGGAGCGUAGAGCUCAGAAGGAGAGACCCCUGGUCGUCUGAAUACAGCGAUACUGUAGGGGUAAGCACAAGGGCAUGAGCACACCGCAGGCCCAGAGAAGGCUCCGGGGAAGAAGCACUAUGUGGUGUUUCCCAAGAUGAGCUGAGAAAGCCACAAGCAGCAGAGUGUUCUCCAGACAGAAGACACAGCAGAGGCCCAGAAGCAAGCGACAGAGGAGAGAGCGUGCUUGUUUAGAUAAGUGCAGGUGGUUUAAUAUGACUGCAGGAUAGAGGGCAGGCCAAGAAAUGAGGCUGGGGAGGUAGACUGCGGCCAUAGCAUAAGGGGACUUGUAUGCGCAUAUAAGAAAUUCGGGCUUUUGCAUGAGAGUAGUGGAAGCUGUUGACGGCUUUUAAGCAGGAAAUGAUAUGGUCAGAUUUGUGUGUUAGAAAGAGCAUUUGGUUUGCUCUGUGGAAAAUGGCUGUGGCAGCCCCACGUAGUAGGCCCCUUGCUCCUUCCUAAGAGAACCCCCAGCUUGUUCAGGAAUCUCCCUCUCCUGGGUGGCCAUGUGCAUUAGGGGAUUCUCCUGCGGGCCUUCCAGAAAGGUUUCCUCAUGCCUAAGUGAAGCAAGCACAAGAGAAAGGAUGGCCUUUCUACCUCUGGACAUUGUAGGGACUGGAUAUGACUCCGGAAAUGGAAGUAGUUAUCAAUCUACUAGCCUGAGGAUGAAGCUACCACAUGGGGGAGUUUGAGGCUAAGAGAUGCAGAGGGAAGUGGUGCCAGAGUACUUUAAUUUGCCAGGUUGGGCCUCUCUUUUGCCAUUGCUGCUACAGGCAGGCUCGGAGGGAAGCCUUGCUGCUGCCACACAAAAUCUCACUAUUGUCCGUUGCCUGGACGUGUCCCUCUUGCCUUUCCAGAUCCACUCUCCAUUUUUCUCCUCCCUGUUGCAGGAUGCAUGAGGCUGACCUCAGGGACUGCAUCAACAGGCUUACCUUCCUGAAACUUCCAGCCAGAUUGAGCCAAUGGGAGCACCAGCAAGAACACAGGGAGAAGGAGAGUGAAGCAAGAGUAUUGGUUCCUUCACCUCUUUCCAUUGGGGCCCCUGCAGAGGGCUGCACCCCUUGUGCAGGUUCCAGCUCCAAUUAGGCAACCCUCUCAGCACAGCCCUCUCGGUCUCUGGCUUCCAGUAACUGCUCCCUUGGGCCUAAGAUGGGGAGCAGUGCCUUACUAGCCCCAAGCAACUACGGUCUUCUUUGUGGUUUCUCUAUAGCUGUCUAUACCUUUGAAAAUAAUUCCUUUAUUAAACUCUACUCAAAGUCUCCCAGUGUGAGCUGUGUGUCAAAGAGAUAUAUGUCAUCUGUUUCCUGCUGGGAUCCUGACUGUACAUUUUUCGUUGUGUUCCUCUGGGACGUUUGAGAAGCAGAUGCCAAGACAAGACUGUGUGUGUGAGAGGCAUGAUGAAAAUCUGACCCUGAGUGAAGGAGAAUGGGAAGGAAGAUUGGAUGGAAGCAUUCUAGACUGCCGUGCAAUCUAAAGAAGGUUUGGCAAGGCCGUCGGGGAGUUCUCAAGUCAAAGCUGGCCAUCAGAGGAGUCGCCUAUCUCCCAGAAUGGGCCUGCCUUAGUCUUCCUGCUGUCCUUAGUCAUUGGUAGGGAGCAGGCCAUGGGAAGUGUAACCUCUGUGCAAAUAUGGCAAUGCAUUUGAGCACAACCACAGCAACCUCCCUGUGGUUGUGGUCUAUGAGGCCAUUCUCAUGGUUAUCACACUCAUCCUAUUAACAUUUUUAGCACCACGUUAAGGUUUGCGUGUUCCCCCCACAUCCUGUCAAGACUCUGUUUUUACCUUCCAUAUCUAUUCCCCUCCCCCCCAACCAAAAACGUUGUGUUAAAUUUCACAAUGUGCUUUCUCAGCCCAAUCGUGAUGCCAAGAUACCCCACUGUGGAAAGGCUGGCUGGCUGUCUCCCAAAUGGUCUUAGAGGAUGUCAUUUACUACCUUACAGAUUUACAAUCAUCAGCAGAUAAUCAGACUGGUAAGCUCAAAACUUGAUUUUGUCAGCACACCAUGCAGUUAAUCUCCCAGGGCAAGCGUAUGCUAAUCAUGUUGAAGAGGCUGAUGUGAAAAAAAAUCAGAGUAUCGAGUUAUUCCCUUUCUGUAAGAAAUCACCUUUAGAAGGACCAAGACCAUCUGAAGUCUCCAGGAUUAAUAUAUUAUUCCCCUGAAAAGGCUAGAUAAUAAUCAGGAGAUUGCUGUUGAGUGUGACAUCAGCUCAAAGGGAAUUAGAUAAGCCAAAGGUUUAUAGCAGCAGGGCAAGCUAGCCUAGUGCAUCAUUCAUCUCACAUAGCGAUGGUCUUGCAGGUAGGAUGUGAAUACUGGAAACGCAAUGGCUAUAACCUUCUAGAUACAUCGACCUGUUAGGAAUGUAUUACAUACUCAAAAUGCAUUGGCUAAGUCUCCUUCUCCACAGGACAGGGUUUGAACAAACACCAUUAGCAUUUAUCUCUAUAUCUUUCUUUUUUCUGUUUCCAUGGCUGACCAUCAUAACUACCACCUUCCCCUUGAAACCCUCGGCCCCCCACUUCCCACUCCCAGCCAGCCAGCCCAAGAGCCUUGGAAGGCAUACUGCCUUUUUUUUAUUGACCUUUAACAUCUAAUCCGGUAUAUACUGGUAUUAAAGUUUAAGACUCAAAAAGCUAGUCCCGUUUCUCCCAUUUCCAAAUAUUAUAUCAUGAAUAGUCAAAUUUUCUUUUUUCAGGGUCCUGAGCUAGAAAGAGGAACCUCAUGAUAUAUUCCUAGGUCCACUUGGUUUUCAAUUCUGGCAGAAGGCACCCUCCAACUAUGUUUCUUUUCCCCACUAGUGGGAUCUCAGUGGUUCUUUUUCCCAGGGGUGUCUGGGAAGAACAGAGGAACCAUCUAGAAAUCCUAGCCGUAGCUGACUCCCCACUUGUUUGAAGGGGAAAUGCAGUUGACCACAUCCAACAAUACAGCCAAGUAAUUCCACAGGCAAACUUCUGUCUCCAGACCAGCUCUCCUGGCAAAGAGAAAUCCCUUCUCCCAGUUUGGAAAGUAGCUCCAGCCAUGAUGCCAGUCUCUCCUGAGGCAGAAACAAGUGGUAGAAACACAUGCUUUUCGGUCUUCCCCAGAUCAGAUUGUCCUCCAAUGUCCACCUCAGCCCACAUUGUUCUUGUAAUCUACUUAAUCCUUAAUCUACACCACCAGACUGUGUCAAUUGUUGUGCUUCUAAUUCUCCCACUCCAUUUUGGGACAAAGCAGCAAAAUGAGCCUUGUCCCCACGUCCCACCGGGAUCUUUGUUUGUCUGUUACAAGUCCACAUAUACUAGCUGGAGGGGCAUUUCUCAGGCCCAUUUCUCUGCCUCCUCAGACUAAGAACCAGAGAGAAAGCCACAAGGCUCAUUUGUUUUCAGUCAAAUGUGGGUAGAUCAGGGAUAACGUUCUGAGUGUCAGGAAACCCAAUUUCUAGGCUGCUGCACUAACUCAGCAGCAUUGUACCAACCACUUACUCCCUCUAGAAUGCAGUUGCUUACUCCUUUGAAAAUGGUAAUGGUGACACUUGGCUCCGCUUACCUCCAAGAGUUCUUCAGAGGUAAAACAUGAUAAUGGGCGUGGAAGUAUUGUAGGAGAUAUAGGAGACAGAAAGAGCUCUGCCAAGGCAAAGGACUGCAUCUGAGGUGGAUGAUUGAAAAAUAUUUUUUCUGCACCCUGGAGGAGUGUUUGUGUUUAAUGCAAGAAGAGGGCUUCAGCAGAUCUCGGCAAACUGAUCAAAAGAGAAUAUUCCCACUGACGAACUCCCUGGGUCCCCUCUAGCCACACGUAGCAUAGAAAUGUCUUAAGGGCUUGACUUCAUUAGUUUGGGUCGUCCAAGUCCCUUGCAUCUCCUGAGGAGCUUAGAACUUGACUGAGAAACACCUUUAGUUACAACCAAAAACAGCGAAGAGAAGUGUGUUAGUUAGGGCUCUUCUGAGUUCCAGAAAUAGUGAUCCAUCUCUAAAUAACCUGGUCAAGCAAUGGGUUUUUACUGGAGGUGGAUUCUCAUAACUGUGGAAAGGUUAGACGUGCAGCUAGCUUGGGGACUUGAGUUCUGCUAGUAGGCUCUCCAUCUCUCGUCUGCCACUCUACACUUCAUUCUCUCCAAAGGAUUUCUUUGAAGAGGUGUGCAACAUGGCUACCUUCGGGCGGAAGGCUUCCUACCUCACACCUUCACCUUCAAAAUGGAGCCAACAGUUUUCUCUUAGUUCCAGCUUGAAAAGUUCUGGGGAACAAUUCUGAUUGAUCUGGUUGAUGCAGAUAGCCACGUCUGGACCAAUCAACAAUGACCAGAAGGGAAAAUUACCACAAUUGUCCAAACUGAGUCAGGUCUCACCACUGAACCAGUGGUUGGAAGUCUACCUAAUCAUACCUUAUGGUAGGAGUCAGGGUCAAUAGUCCAGACAUGGCCACAGGGGACAACUCCAUGAUUUAGGGUCAUCUCUAGGAAAGGGGUCAUCACUGGAAGAUGGGCAGUCAGUCUCAUUGCAGGGACUUCAGGGAGCUUCUGUAAAUGCCUUCGUGUUUGGUCUUUUUAUCUAAAUCGGAGUCAUACUCAUCCAAUAAACAGAGAUUGAAUACUGUUUCUAUCCAAUACCUCACUUGGCCCUGCCACACGCAGAGGGGUAAGGUCUCUUGGGGCCUUGUCUGGUCCUGUUAGAUCAAUGUAGGCUCAACAGCUGAAUACUUACAUGAGGGGGACAGAGUGAGAGGGGUCAAAAACCUACCCAGAUAUUUGCCAGUAUCUCCCUAAGGAUUUUGGCUUCAUGGUGAGAUAGAUGUUGUCAUCCUUUCUCUUCCCCUCUUAAGCAUCUCAAGUCAUAGUUCAAACCGCCAGCUUCGUAUUAACUCAUUUCCAUGACAACAAAUUACUACUCUUUCCCUUUUUCUCUUCCUCCAUCACUUACACAUGAUACAGAAGGGGCGGGGAUGUCAGUAUAUUUUCACACCAAGAGUAGGGACUUGUGUGAACAAGAAAAAUGUGCCUCAUUAACUAUUAUCAAGCACUAGAAAAAAAAAUAUAUAUGAAGAGAUUGAUCUUUUCCCCCCCAGAGAUACAAAUUACAUUUAAUUCUUCCAAAAAGCAGUAAAGCAAAUGCAACUCCUUUAAAAACACAAUUAAUUAUAGGCCAAGUCCUUUGGAAUGAUAAUAAUUUUUCUUUAAUCAUAGAGUAUCUUUUAUAGACUUUGUGUUUCAGGUAGAGACUGCACAGGAGAAUUUCCCAGAAGACCUCAGCCAACCCACAGUAACGUGGAAAAUUUCCAUUUUAGUCAAAGGUGAAAAAUCUGCCUUUUUGUUUUUUUUACAAAGAGAACUCCUAGAAACACCAAAUAGUCUGUAUGAGCAACCUUCGCAAAAAGAGUUACACCUGAAGGGCCACCAAUUCUAGAAAAAAAGAGUAAAGAGGAGAGGGUGUUUUGUUUUGUUUUAAUAUAAUUACUCUUUUUGCUUUCCAGAUAUGAAAGUGUGGGCCUGCACUUGGGCAAUUUCUCAGAGACACAAAAUGCUGUGGUGGAAACAAGAUCUCUUCACUGUGUUCUGAGUUUAUAUAGAACAACUGAUCACUGAGAGAAAAAGGUUAUGUGUAAAAUCAGCCUCAUCCUAAAAUAAUAAUGAGCCAAGUUGUGGACUGUGUAAUGCUCAAGAGUCACUUGGUAACCCUAGUGGGUGGAAUGGUGCCCCCCCCCCCCAAAGAUAUGUCCACAUCCUAAUUCCCAAAACCUAUGAAUGUGACCUUUUUUGGAAAAGGAGUUGUUGGAGAUGUGAUUAAUUUAAGCAUCUUGAGAUGAGGAGAUCAUCCUGGAUUAUCCAGAUGGGCCCUAAAUCCAAUCACAGGUGUCCUUAUAAGAGGCACAGAGGAAACACACAGAAGAGGGGGAGGCAAUGUGAUCACGGAAGCAGAGGUGGGAGUGAUGCAGGCACACAUCGAGGAACGCCAACAGCCACCGGAAGCUGGAAGAAACAACAGAUUCUCCUCUAGAACCUCUAGAGGGAGUGUGGUCCUGCCAACGCCUUGAGAUUUUAAAGAUUUUAUUUUUUUUUCCCUUUUCUCCCAAAGCCCCCCGGUACAUAGCUGUGUA